UACGUAGGAGGCGAGCGUUGUCCGGAGUUACUGGGCGUAAAGGGUGCGCAGGCGGCGUCACGCGUGGAUAGUUGAAAUCUCCUGGCUUACCUGGGAGGGUGGUAUCCAGACGGUGGCGCUUGAGGGUCGGAGAGGGGCGUGGAAUUCCGGGUGGAGCGGUGAAAUGCGCAGAUAUCGGGAAGAACACCCGUGGCGAAGGCGGGUCUCUGGGCCGUUACUGACGCUGAGGAGCGAAAGCGUGGGGAGCGAACAGG
rnacentral:rRNA from 1 species